AACCAUAGAAACCUGCGGAGUACCUGCGGAAGGAUCAUUACAGAGUUAUCCAACUCCCAAACCCAUGUGAACUUAUCUCUUUGUUGCCUCGGCGCAAGCUACCCGGGACCCCGCGCCCCGGGCGGCCCGCCGGCGGACAAACCAAAACUCUUGUUAUCUUAGUUGAUUCUCUGAGCGUCUUAUUUAAUAAGUCAAAACUUUCAGCAAUGGAUCU
rnacentral:misc_RNA from 1 species